UGGAUUAAGUUAUGCCACAUUC
rnacentral:siRNA from 1 species